GCUACAGGCUUAACACAUGCAAGUCGAGGGGCAGCAUGGUCUUAGCUUGCUAAGGCCGAUGGCGACCGGCGCACGGGCGAGUAACACGUAUCCAACCUGCCGUCUACUCUUGGACAGCCUUCUGAAAGGAAGAUUAAUACAAGAUGGCAUCAUGAGUCCACAUGUUCACAUGAUUAAAGGUAUUCCGGUAGACGAUGGGGAUGCGUUCCAUUAGAUAGUAUGCGGGGUAACGGCCCACCUAGUCUUCGAUGGAUAGGGGUUCUGAGAGGAAGGUCCCCCACAUUGGAACUGAGACACGGUCCAAACUCCUACGGGAGGCAGCAGUGAGGAAUAUUGGUCAAUGGGCGAGAGCCUGAACCAGCCAAGUAGCGUGAAGGAUGACUGCCCUAUGGGUUGUAAACUUCUUUUAUAAAGGAAUAAAGUCGGGUAUGGAUACCCGUUUGCAUGUACUUUAUGAAUAAGGAUCGGCUAACUCCGUGCCAGCAGCCGCGGUAAUACGGAGGAUCCGAGCGUUAUCCGGAUUUAUUGGGUUUAAAGGGAGCGUAGAUGGAUGUUUAAGUCAGUUGUGAAAGUUUGCGGCUCAACCGUAAAAUUGCAGUUGAUACUGGAUAUCUUGAGUGCAGUUGAGGCAGGCGGAAUUCGUGGUGUAGCGGUGAAAUGCUUAGAUAUCACGAAGAACUCCGAUUGCGAAGGCAGCCUGCUAAGCUGCAACUGACAUUGAGGCUCGAAAGUGUGGGUAUCAAACAGGAUUAGAUACCCUGGUAGUCCACACGGUAAACGAUGAAUACUCGCUGUUUGCGAUAUACAGCAAGCGGCCAAGCGAAAGCGUUAAGUAUUCCACCUGGGGAGUACGCCGGCAACGGUGAAACUCAAAGGAAUUGACGGGGGCCCGCACAAGCGGAGGAACAUGUGGUUUAAUUCGAUGAUACGCGAGGAACCUUACCCGGGCUUAAAUUGCAGAUGAAUUACGGUGAAAGCCGUAAGCCGCAAGGCAUCUGUGAAGGUGCUGCAUGGUUGUCGUCAGCUCGUGCCGUGAGGUGUCGGCUUAAGUGCCAUAACGAGCGCAACCCUUGUUGUCAGUUACUAACAGGUUCCGCUGAGGACUCUGACAAGACUGCCAUCGUAAGAUGUGAGGAAGGUGGGGAUGACGUCAAAUCAGCACGGCCCUUACGUCCGGGGCUACACACGUGUUACAAUGGGGGGUACAGAGGGCCGCUACCACGCGAGUGGAUGCCAAUCCCAAAAACCUCUCUCAGUUCGGACUGGAGUCUGCAACCCGACUCCACGAAGCUGGAUUCGCUAGUAAUCGCGCAUCAGCCACGGCGCGGUGAAUACGUUCCCGGGCCUUGUACACACCGCCCGUCAAGCCAUGGGAGCCGGGGGUACCUGAAGUGCGUAACCGCGAGGAGCGCCCUAGGGUAAAACUGGUGACUGGGGCU
rnacentral:rRNA from 1 species